GUUUCCUAGGAAAAAUGGCGUCUUGUUUUACACAUGCUUCUUGAUGAACGAUGGCUGAGGCCCCUCUGGAUUCUGGCUCAAUGGGCAAAUGGACGCAGAGUAAAACCUCACUACUCUGGCUACCCAAGGAAGUCUACUGCAAAGAGCCGCGCAUUCCAAGGGAGCUUUGGAUCAGAGAAGUCCCUUGAAGAGGUGGUGUGGAAGAGGCCGGCAAACACCCAGAGGCCC
rnacentral:lncRNA from 1 species